rnacentral:rRNA from 1 species
AGCGAACGCUGGCGGCAUGCCUAACACAUGCAAGUCGCACGGGGGGGCUUCGGCCUCCCAGUGGCGGCCGGGGGAGGAACGCGUAGGGACCCGUCGAGGGGCGGGGGAUAACCGCGGGAAACUGCGGCUAAUACCGCACGACGACGCGGCGUGACAGCCGGGGCCAAAGGCGAAAGCCGCCCGCCGAGGGGCCUGCGUCCGAUUAGUCGGUUGGCGGGGUAGCGGCACACCAAGGCGUGGACCGGUACCUGGUCGGAGAGCGGGAUCAGCCGGACCUGGAAUGAGACACAGACCGGACUGCUACGGGAGGGAGCGGUGUGGAAUAUUAUACGAGGAACGCAAGCCUAAUCCAGCAAUGCCGCGUGGGUGGAGAAGGUCUUCGGAUUGUAAAGCCCUUUCGGCGGGGACGAUAGUGACGGUACCCGGAGAAGAAGCCCCGGCUAACUACGUG